rnacentral:lncRNA from 7 species
AGUAAAGUCCCUUGUGCUGCUGCUCAUUUGGGCAAACAUUUUCUCCUUCUGUAAGUGUGUGGAUAGAGUUAUGUCUUACUUCUACGGGCAACAUGAAAUACCUGAAGGAGAGUGUACAGACCCUGAUCCUAGAGAGGUGACUUCAGAAGACAUAAGAAGCGAAACAUUUAAUGCCCCACAACAAAUAUCAACCUGUGGAAGCAAUACUUCAGAGAAGGAGACAUUAAACCCUGAGGUAUUAGAAAGGUUGGAGAAGCUGGAAGAAGAAUGUAGAAACCAAAAGCUCUUGUCUCAAGCAAUGAGCAUGCACAACCAGUCAGAAAACGUGAAUGACCCUUUCCACUUGACUGCUGUUCUGAGUAUGUUUAGGACGCUUAAGUUACAAGAAUGGGGAAAAUGCUGGAGCAGCUCAGACCGCUUGUCCUAUUCACGGGCCAGCAACAUUAUUAAGAAGCUGUUUGAUGCCUGUGAGAAAGAUAUUGAGAAGAGAAAAACUGACAUACUUGAAAUCCUUGGCUUUUCAUCUUCAGAUAAUGCUGCGAAUUCCUGCAAACAAGAGCAGAUGCUAGGUAUAAUGAAACUCUUAAGAGAUGGUUAUUACCAUAGCGACUUGGGCAUUUGCGAAAUUAUUAAGCAAGCUGAUGUUCCUCUGAGAAGUAUGAAUCUAAAGCAGUUUGCACAGAAGUGCUGCAGAGUUUUCUGUUUGCUGCUUCUUCAGGACUCACCAGUUAAAGCUGUGUGGUACAUGGAUAUGUGGCCUCAGCAUUAUUUAGAGUACGUGGACCAGCAAGUCAUAACAUACCAUAAAAGAAACAAGCUUCAAAUUCUAUGGCCCGUGCUGACAGAUGGGCAAAAUGUCAUUGAGAAAGGUGUAGCGUAUGAUGGAAUGUAACAAGGCUUUAAUGUCAAGCUUAUACUUAUAUGACCACAAGAAGAUGAAAUAGCUGUUGUGCAAUUUGUUGCUUUUCUUUCUCCUAUGAGCAGCCUGCUUUUCAUAUCUAAUUAAAUGUUUCUGGCUUGGGAUAUCGAGAAUAAACUAUAAUCAACAAACACCUAUU